rnacentral:rRNA from 1 species
GAUUAACGCUAGCGGCAGGCAUAAUACAUGCAAGUUGAACGAGAUAAGUUUUAGCAAUAGAACUUUGAAAGUGGCGCCCGGGUGCGUAACACGUAUGCAACCUACCUUUUACUGGGGAAUAGCCUCUCGAAAGAGAGAUUAAUACCCCAUAAUAUAUUGAUAAGGCAUCUUAUUAAUAUUAAAGUUACGGCGGUAAAAGAUGGGCAUGCGGCUGAUUAGGUGGUUGGUGAGGUAAUGGCUCACCAAGCCGACGAUCAGUAGGGGGUCUGAGAGGACGUCCCCCCACACUGGUACUGAGACACGGACCAGACUCCUACGGGAGGCAGCAGUAGGGAAUAUUGGACAAUGGGCGCAAGCCUGAUUCAGCCAUGCCGCGUGCAGGAUGAAGGCCCUGUGGGUCGUAAACUGCUUUUGUACGGGAAGAAACCUCACUACGUGUAGUGAGUUGACGGUACCGUGAGAAUAAGGAUCGGCUAACUUCGUGCCAGCCGCCGCCGUAA